rnacentral:lncRNA from 1 species
AUUCGCCGUGCAUAUAUUUUUGUGCAUGGCGCUUGAGAGGGCAUCACGUGACUAAAAACGACCAACCAACGACCUCGCUUCGGCCAUCUUGGCAUCUUCAUCUUGGCCACGGAUCGUUGUUUAGUUGUUUGUAUUAUUUGUGCUUUUUAAGAAUAUUUUUUUAAUUCGGAUACUUUUAUAAUAGCUUUAAUAGUAUUAUUAACAUAGUGAAUAAAAUGGUGUCCUGUUUUUAACGCAGUUGGAGUAGCAGAAACAAAUGUAGAUAAAAAAAUCUGCAGGAAUAACGUUUCAAUUAUGACAGAAGCUCCAAACAAAUGACUGUGAAUGAAAAGCCCUAUUAAAAGCUUUCCAGAAGAUCCUGCGAAGAAGACAUGAAGUAUAGAUCAGAUUUGUUAAUAGAGGAGUAUGUUCAAAACACUUUUUAGAAAAGAUAUUGACAGAACUUCACUUUCAUCUGUUCGUUUAAGAGACUGUGCUGUUCCAAUAGCUUAUGUCACACAGAAUCAGCUGAGAGAAGUGGUCUACAAAAAACCAGAAAGGAAACGGAAUAUGUGGCUACGAAAAGCAAAAGAAAGGUUUACAAAGCAAAUGUGACACAUUUUUUUAUAAUAUUUAGGAAUGUCAGUAAAUUACAUUAAAAAAUG